rnacentral:rRNA from 1 species
CCUACGUGAGGCAGCAGUGGGGAAUAUUGCACAAUGGGGGAAACCCUGAUGCAGCGACGCCGCGUGUGUGAAGAAGUACUUCGUUACGUAAAGCUCUAUCAGCAGGGAAGAAAUACUUACCUUACGGUCAGCAGACGGUACCUGAGUAACAAGCCCCAGCUAACUACGUGCCAGCAGCCGCGGUAAUCCGUAGGGGGCAAGCGUUAAUCGGAUUUACUGGGUGUAAAGGGAGCGUAGACGGUGCGCCAAGUCUGGAGUGAAAUGCCGCGGCUUAACUGCGGAACUGCUUUGGAAACUGGCGAACUAGAGUGCGGGAGGGGGAAGCGGAAUUCCUAGUGUAGCGGUGAAAUGCGUAGAUAUUAGGAGGAACACCGGUGGCGAAGGCGGCUUACUGGACCGUAACUGACGUUGAGGCUCGAAAGCGUGGGGAGCAAACAGGAUUAGAUACCCGAGUAGUC